GAUGAACGCUGGCGGCGUGCCUAAUACAUGCAAGUCGAGCGAACAGACGAGGAGCUUGCUCCUCUGACGUUAGCGGCGGACGGGUGAGUAACACGUGGAUAACCUACCUAUAAGACUGGGAUAACUUCGGGAAACCGGAUCUACUACCGGAUAAUAUAUUGAACCGCAUGGUUCAAUAGUGCAAGACAGUUUUGCUGUCACUUCUAGCUGGAUCCGCGCUGCAUUAUCUAGUUGGUAAGGUAACGGCUUACCAAGGCGACGAUGCGUAGCCGACCUGAGAGGAGGAUCGGCCACACUGGAACUGAGACACGGUCCAGACUCCUACGGGAGGCAGCAGUAGGGAAUAUUCCGCAAUGGGCGAAAGCCUGACGGAGCAACGCCGCGUGAGUGAUGAAGGUCUUCGGAUCGUAAAACUCUGUUAUUAGGGAAGAAAAAAUGUGUAAGUAAAUAUGCACGUCUUGACGGUACCUAAUCAGAAAGCCACGGCUAACUACGUG
rnacentral:rRNA from 1 species